CUGGACUUUAGAUGCCCGAGGAAAGGGAACACAAGAGUAAACUCUUGAGCAGGAAGAAACCCACAUGGGAAUCCCCAACAAUCACAGUGACUCACCCAUUUCCCAGCCAGUGAGUGAAAUGAGUCCCCAGGAUGUCACCCAAUUCUGUACUGGUGGGUGGGGCAGUGAGAGCACCUCCCAUUCUCUUGAUCUGGUCUAAUUCUGGUACACACUCUACAGACCAGCCCCUCUCAUCCCCUCCCCCAAAGAGUGCACAUAAAAUCUCCAAGUAGAAAAGUCUAAAGUGACAUUUUUGUGGCAGCAGGUGUUGUACUGGUAGGCUAUGGUUAAGGUUGUUAUGGCAACGAUGGUCUCUGGCUCUGUUGCCUUUAAGGUCUGUGGGCACAGUUGCCAAUGAGAUCUUUGGUGGAUGUGGGUGAGGGAAGGUCUGGAGCAUGGAGCACACCUGCAUUUUGCCCUGAGGGAGCAGAUGCUCUCAGCGAAUGAGCUUACGUUCAGGCUAGCUUCUCAGGCUCCUCGGGGCUCUCAGGAAACACCUCCUCCCACUGGUAAAGAAGGCUCCACAGGUGUGGACUCACUAC
rnacentral:lncRNA from 1 species